UAUCCACAGCUGAGCUAUCUCAAUCUCCGGCGCCGCAUCAGCGCCGGCGUCUCUGAUUUAUUUGCUAUAUCGAUGCUUCCGUGUUUAGGUUUUGCUUUAUCUGGGAUAAUAUCCUAAAGCUGUAGUAAAGUUUGAUGCUUUUUGUUGUUUUUGGUUCCAGUUUUCAUGUGUUUGGGGUUAAGAGAAUGAUGAGAUUUUGCACUAUGUAUCGAAGGCUAUGUCAAUCACUAUGGCAUAGUCUUUGAAUAAAAAAAGUGCAGAAAUAGAGAGCUGUUAAAUCAGCAAGCGGCCAGACAACCGUCGGGAUAGAUCCACAGUUGGUUUGUGUUGUUGUUAUUGCACCUUGAAUUGAAAAGGUCAUGCUUCGUUCUGGUGGCAUGGCUAUUUUCGAGGAUGCGUAAAGUGAUUGCUGUUAAGUCAGUAAGCGGCCAGACAACCGUUGGGAUAGAUCCACAGGUGUUGCGUUUUCUCUCUCCGCUCUCUGCCUACUAAAUCUAUCCCACAUUUUAAUGUGUUUCUUUAUGGAUUCAAGUUUCCUGGUUAAAGCUUUGAUUCUUUUGUUAAAGUGUUUGGAGUUGGGCAUUAGAUGUGUAUCCGUGGGCUGCACCUCUCCUAGAGAUUAGUCUCGAGCCCUUCUAUAGAUCUGAGAAUUUACCCUGAGUUAUCAAAAAAAAAAAAAAAAAAACAUCCAAUUGAAAAGAAACAAUGAUAGAAGAAGUUGAAGAUAUAUUGACAGAGGUGGAUGGGGGUUCAGUUGUAAAAGAAAAUAAAAUUCGUCUGUCGAAAGUAAUGUUGGAGAAAGAAAGAUCUCAAUAUCUCUAACUAAGAAAUAGAAGUCGGAAGUAAUGGCGAUGAUUUGUUUCUCUCCUCCACCAAGAAACAUUUAGGACUUGAAUCACACUUUGAAAUAGAGUUGGUGUGUCUCAGAACUUGAGAAAUCUGAACAUUAGCUGAGUUAUAUUAUUUCAAUUAACAUC